CCCUAUUCUUCAACCUCCUUUCCCCCCUCUGCAAGUAUAAUUGAUAAUUAUGUAACAGCCUGACUGUAGGGGAAGUUAUUUGCUAACCUCAGGCUGGUGGCUGAUUUAUGCCCUGAACUGUGAACAUUUAUAUCCAUUAUGAAUUUUUAUCAGGUCCAAUCUGAUUCACCGCACAAAUGUAUGAAUAUGUAUGUAUAACCUUUUACUGAAUCCUGCUAAGCACUUGGCCUCAAUACCAUUUGCCAGCAUGUUUCACAGGCCUAUUAUUUUUGACUUUAAAUAUAAUGCCUUUUACUUUCAUUAUGGCCACCAAUAUUUGCCUGGGGACUGUAUCAGUGGUACUGAUAAUGCCCAAUAUCCUUUUCCCCAGUAACUGCCUGCUCUGAACAGCUCUGAAGCUUCAGCUGGAUCCCGUGUGCCUGUGCUGGACCACAAGUCCUGAGACAUUAUUGGUGGACCCUGAAAUGUAAAGAAGACAAUGAGACCAACUUCAAAAGUCCAUGCAUGAAAAAAUGUCAGCACUCCAGGAGUCUGAGAGAUGCUUGUGCAGCUGGCUCUGGAGUCUCAUUCCAACACCUGGUACAUUCUGAAGAGUCCUGGAAGCAAUGUACAAGGUAAGA